GACGAACGCUGGCGGCGUGCUUAACACAUGCAAGUCGAACGGAAAGGCCCUGCUUUUGUGGGGUGCUCGAGUGGCGAACGGGUGAGUAACACGUGAGUAACCUGCCCUUGACUUUGGGAUAACUUCAGGAAACUGGGGCUAAUACCGGAUAGGAGCUCCUGCUGCAUGGUGGGGGUUGGAAAGUUUCGGCGGUUGGGGAUGGACUCGCGGCUUAUCAGCUUGUUGGUGGGGUAGUGGCUUACCAAGGCUUUGACGGGUAGCCGGCCUGAGAGGGUGACCGGCCACAUUGGGACUGAGAUACGGCCCAGACUCCUACGGGAGGCAGCAGUGGGGAAUAUUGCACAAUGGGCGGAAGCCUGAUGCAGCAACGCCGCGUGCGGGAUGACGGCCUUCGGGUUGUAAACCGCUUUCGCCUGUGACGAAGCGUGAGUGACGGUAAUGGGUAAAGAAGCACCGGCUAACUACGUGCCAGCAGCCGCGGUGAUACGUAGGGUGCGAGCGUUGUCCGGAUUUAUUGGGGCGUAAGGGCUCGUAGGUGGUUGAUCGCGUCGGAAGUGUAAUCUUGGGGCUUAACCCUGAGCGUGCUUUCGAUACGGGUUGACUUGAGGAAGGUAGGGGAGAAUGGAAUUCCCGGUGGAGCGGUGGAAUGCGCAGAUAUCAGGAGGAACACCAGUGGCGAAGGCGGUUCUCUGGGCCUUUCCUGACGCUGAGGAGCGAAAGCGUGGGGAGCGAACAGGCUUAGAUACCCUGGUAGUCCACGCUGUAAACGGUGGGUACUAGGUGUGGGGUCCAUUCCACGGGUUCCGUGCCGUAGCUAACGCUUUAAGUACCCCGCCUGGGGAGUACGGCCGCAAGGCUAAAACUCAAAGGAAUUGACGGGGCCCCGCACAAGCGGCGGAGCAUGCGGAUUAAUUCGAUGCAACGCGUAGAACCUUACCUGGGUUUGACAUGGAUCGGGAGUGCUCAGAGAUGGGUGUGCCUCUUUUGGGGUCGGUUCACAGGUGGUGCAUGGCUGUCGUCAGCUCGUGUCGUGAGAUGUUGGGUUAAGUCCCGCAACGAGCGCAACCCUUGUUCACUGUUGCCAGCACGUUAUGGUGGGGACUCAGUGGAGACCGCCGGGGUCAACUCGGAGGAAGGUGGGGAUGACGUCAAGUCAUCAUGCCCCUUAUGUCCAGGGCUUCACGCAUGCUACAAUGGCUGGUACAGAGAGUGGCGAGCCUGUGAGGGUGAGCGAAUCUCGGAAAGCCGGUCUCAGUUCGGAUUGGGGUCUGCAACUCGACCUCAUGAAGUCGGAGUCGCUAGUAAUCGCAGAUCAGCAACGCUGCGGUGAAUACGUUCCCGGGGCU
rnacentral:rRNA from 1 species